rnacentral:rRNA from 1 species
GAUGAACGCUGGCGGCGUGCCUAAUACAUGCAAGUCGAGCGAAGCGGGGACGGGUGAGUAACACGUGGAUAACCUCCUAUAAGACUGGGAUAAGGUCGGGAAACCGGAGCUAAACCCGUUACUAAGAGAUGGUCCUGCGCUGUAUUAGCUAGUUGGUAAGGUAACGGCUUACCAAGGCAACGAUGCAUAGCCGACCUGCGAGGGUGAUCGGCCAAACUGGAACUGGGACACGGUCCAGACUCCUACGGGAGGCAGCAGUAGGGAAUCUUCCACAAUGGGCGAAAGCCUGACGGAGCAACGCCGCGUGAGUGAUGAAGGUCUUCGGAUCGUAAAACUCUGUUAUUAGGGAAGCGGUACCUAAUCAGAAAGCCACGGCUAACUACGUGCCAGCAGCCGCGGUAAUUC